CCGACCUUAGCUCAGUUGGUAGAGCGGAGGACUGUAGUGGGGUGUAAACCUUUCAGAUAUCCUUAGGUCGCUGGUUCGAAUCCGGCAGGUCGGA
rfam:Solanum tuberosum cultivar DM 1-3 516 R44 scf00152_24, whole genome shotgun sequence.